rnacentral:rRNA from 1 species
GAUGAACGCUGGCGGUAUGCUUAACACAUGCAAGUCGAACGGGAACUGGUGAUUCCAGUGCCGAACGGGUGAGUAACGGGUGGAAACCUGCCCUGGGGAGGGGAACAACACUUGGAAAGGGUUCCUAAUACGCCGUAGGCUGAGGAGCAAAGGGAGAAAUCCGCCCAAGGAGGGGGUGGCUUCUGAGUAGCUAGGUGGUGAGAUAAUAGCUUACCAAGGCGAUGAUCAGUAGGUGGUACGAGAGGACGACCGGCCACACUGGGACUGGGCCCCGCCCCGGCCUCUAAUGGGAGGAGGCAGUGGGGAAUUUCCCGCAAUGGGGGAAGGCUGAAGGGGGCAUUGCCGGGGGGAGGUGGAAGGUCUACGGGUGGACACCUUCUUUUUUAGGAGAAGAAACAAUGACGGUACCUGAGGAAUAAGCAUCGGCUAACUCCGUG